CCUACGGGAGGCAGCAGUGGGGAAUAUUGGACAAUGGGCGGAAGCCUGAUCCAGCAACGCCGCGUGAGGGAUGAAGGCCUUCGGGUUGUAAACCUCUUUCAGUACCGACGAAGCGAAAGUGACGGUAGGUACAGAAGAAGCACCGGCCAACUACGUGCCAGCAGCCGCGGUAAUACGUAGGGUGCGAGCGUUGUCCGGAAUUAUUGGGCGUAAAGGGCUCGUAGGCGGUUUGUCGCGUCGGGAGUGAAAACACCGGGCUUAACUCGGUGCUUGCUUUCGAUACGGGCAGACUAGAGGUAUUCAGGGGAGAACGGAAUUCCUGGUGUAGCGGUGAAAUGCGCAGAUAUCAGGAGGAACACCGGUGGCGAAGGCGGUUCUCUGGGAAUAUCCUGACGCUGGGGAGCGAAAGUGUGGGGAGCGAACAGGAUUAGAUACCCUGGUAGUCCACACCGUAAACGCUGGGCGCUAGGUGUGGGGCCUAUUCCAUGGGUUCCGUGCCGCAGCUAACGCAUUAAGCGCCCCGCCUGGGGAGUACGGCCGCAAGGCUAAAACUCAAAGGAAUUGACGGGGGCCCGCACAAGCGGCGGAGCAUGCGGAUUAAUUCGAUGCAACGCGAAGAACCUUACCUGGGUUUGACAUACACCGGAAAGCUGCAGAGGUGUAGCCCCUUUUAGUCGGUGUACAGGUGGUGCAUGGCUGUCGUCAGCUCGUGUCGUGAGAUGUUGGGUUAAGUCCCGCAACGAGCGCAACCCUCGUCCUGUGUUGCCAGCACGUCACGGUGGGGACUCACAGGAGACUGCCGGGGUCAACUCGGAGGAAGGUGGGGAUGAGGUCAAGUCAUCAUGCCCCUUAUGUCCAGGCUGCACACAUGCUUCAUGGCCGGUACAAAGGGCAGCUAAGCCGCAAGUGGAGCGAAUCCCAAAAGCCGUCUCAGUUCGGAUCGGGUCUGCACUCGACCCGUGAAGUCGGAGUCCUAGUAAUCGCAGAUCAGCACGCCCCGUGAAUACGUUUCCGG
rnacentral:rRNA from 1 species